rnacentral:tRNA from 1 species
GGAAUGGUGGCAGAGUGGUAAUGCAGCGGGUUGCUAACCCGUACACGUGCAAGCGUGCGGAGGUUCGAUCCCUCCUCGUUCCGCCA